UACAGAGGGGGCAAGCGUUGUUCGGAAUUACUGGGCGUAAAGGGCGCGUAGGCGGCCUGUUAAGUCGAACGUGAAAUCCCCGGGCUCAACCCGGGAACUGCGUCCGAUACUGGAUGGCUUGAAUCCGGGAGAGGGAUGCAGAAUUCCAGGUGUAGCGGUGAAAUGCGUAGAUAUCUGGAGGAAUACCGGUGGCGAAGGCGGCAUCCUGGACCGGCAUUGACGCUGAGGAGCGAAAGCCAGGGGAGCAAACGGG
rnacentral:rRNA from 1 species